rnacentral:miRNA from 1 species
UUCGGAGAGAAAAUGGCGACAU